UUGGGGGAAUUUUGGGAUUUUUGGAGUUGGCGGGAAGCAGGUGCAGGGCGGGGAGAUCGGCACCAUCGACGACUUCUGCCGGAAAUUCCGGCAGGUGCAGGGCGGGGAGAUCGGCACCAUCGACGACUUCUGCCGGAAAUUCCGGGUGAAUUUUGGGAAUUUUGGGAAUUUUGG